rnacentral:rRNA from 1 species
AUGUCUGUAUGGAGCAUAUAUAUUUAGUCUGGCCUGCCCACUGACAAAAUUAAAGGGCUGCGGUAAUUUGACCGUGCAAAGGUAGCAUAAUCAAUAGUCUUUUAAUUGAAGGCUUGGAUGAAAGGUUUGAUGAAGGAAGAGCUGUCUCUUUGAUUUAUAUUGAAUUUAACAUUUGUGUGAAAAGGCAUAAAUAAUUUAAAGGGACGAUAAGACCCUAUAAAACUUUACAUAUUGAAAUUGUUUAAUGAAAUUGAUGAUUAAUUAUUGGGCGGUUAAUUUUGUUUUGCUGGGGCGGCAUGAAUAUAAUUUUAACUGUUUUUAAUAUAAAAUACAUAUUAGUAUAGUUUGGUCCUUUAUUAGGGAGAGUAGAGUAAGUUACUUUAGGGAUAACAGCAUAAUUUCUUUUGAGAGUUCGUAUCGAAGAGGGUAGUUGUGACCUCGAUGUUGAAUUAGAUUUUCUUUUAGGUGCAGGAGCUUAAAGAGAGGGCCUGUUCGGCCCAUAAACAUCUACAUGAUUUGAGUUCAAACCGGUGUGAGC